CAGCCGCCGCGGUAAUACGAAGGGGGCUAGCGUUGCUCGGAAUGACUGGGCGUAAAGGGCGCGUAGGCGGCUGACACAGUCAGAUGUGAAAUUCCUGGGCUCAACCUGGAGACUGCAUUUGAGACGUGUUGGCUUGAGUGGAGAAGAGGGUCGUGGAAUUUCCAGUGUAGAGGUGAAAUUCGUAGAUAUUCGGAAGAACACCAGUGGCGAAGGCGACUCGCUGGACAAGUAUUGACGCUGAGGUGCGAAAGCGUGGGGAGCAAACAGGAUUAGAUACCCCAGUAGUCCCUGUCUCUUAUAC
rnacentral:rRNA from 1 species